GACGAACGCUGGCGGCGUGCUUAACACAUGCAAGUCGAACGGAAAGGCCCUGCUUUUGUGGGGUGCUCGAGUGGCGAACGGGUGAGUAACACGUGAGUAACCUGCCCUUGACUUUGGGAUAACUUCAGGAAACUGGGGCUAAUACCGGAUAGGAGCUCCUGCUGCAUGGUGGGGGUUGGAAGUUUCGGCGGUUGGGGAUUGACUCGCGGCUUAUCAGCUUGUUGGUGGGGUAGUGGCUUACCCAGGCUUUGACGGGUAGCCGGCCUGAGAGGGUGACCGGCCACAUUGGGACUGAGAUACGGCCCAGACUCCUACGGGAGGCAGCAGUGGGGAAUAUUGCACAAUGGGCGGAAGCCUGAUGCAGCAACGCCGCGUGCGGGAUGACGGCCUUCGGGUUGUAAACCGCUUUCGCCUGUGACGAAGCGUGAGUGACGGUAAUGGGUAAAGAAGCACCGGCUAACUACGUG
rnacentral:rRNA from 1 species